rnacentral:lncRNA from 1 species
GACGAGAAGUUCGUCCGCAAGCACACGGGCCCCGGCAUCCUCUCCAUGGCCAACGCCGGCCCCAACACCAACGGCUCCCAGUUCUUCAUCUGCACCGUCGCCACCCCAUGGCUCGACGGCAAGCACGUCGUCUUCGGCCAGGUCGUCGAGGGCAUGAACGUCGUCAAGGCCAUCGAGAAGGUGGGCUCCCGCAGCGGAUCCACCGCCAAGGAAGUCAAGAUCGCCGACUGCGGCCAGCUCUCCUAGAUCUCUCAGAUCUGAUCUGCCUACCCGGCCGCCCUCCCUCCGUCGUCGUCGUCGUCGAGUCCGCCGUGUCCGUCCCUUCCAUUAGCUUCGAUCUGAAUAAGAUGAUGGUGAUCUGAGAGGUGGU